UGGGGAAUAUUGGACAAUGGGCGCAAGCCUGAUCCAGCCAUGCCGCGUGAGUGAUGAAGGCCCUAGGGUUGUAAAGCUCUUUUGUGCGGGAAGAUAAUGACGGUACCGCAAGAAUAAGCCCCGGCUAACUUCGUGCCAGCAGCCGCGGUAAUACGAAGGGGGCUAGCGUUGCUCGGAAUCACUNGGCGUAAAGGGUGCGUAGGCGGGUCUUUAAGUCAGGGGUGAAAUCCUGGAGCUCAACUCCAGAACUGCCUUUGAUACUGAAGAUCUUGAGUUCGGGAGAGGUGAGUGGAACUGCGAGUGUAGAGGUGAAAUUCGUAGAUAUUCGCAAGAACACCAGUGGCGAAGGCGGCUCACUGGCCCGAUACUGACGCUGAGGCACGAAAGCGUGGGGAGCAAACAGGAUUAGAUACCCUGGUAGUCCACNCCGUAAACGAUGAAUGCCAGCCGUUAGUGGGUUUACUCACUAGUGGCGCAGCUAACGCUUUAAGCAUUCCGCCUGGGGAGUACGGUCGCAAGAUUA
rnacentral:rRNA from 1 species